rnacentral:rRNA from 1 species
GAUGAACGCUGGCGGCGUGCCUAAUACAUGCAAGUCGAGCGAAUGGAUUAAGAGCUUGCUCUUAUGAAGUUAGCGGCGGACGGGUGAGUAACACGUGGGUAACCUGCCCAUAAGACUGGGAUAACUCCGGGAAACCGGGGCUAAUACCGGAUAACAUUUUGAACCGCAUGGUUCGAAAUUGAAAGGCGGCUUCGGCUGUCACUUAUGGAUGGACCCGCGUCGCAUUAGAUAGGUGGUGCGGUAACGGCUCACCAAGGCAACGAUGCGUAGCCGACCUGAGAUGGGGGUCGGGCACCCGGGGCCUGCGCCACGGCCCAGACUCCGACGGGGGGCAGCAAGAAGGAGUCUUCCGCAAUGGACGCAAGUCUGGCGGAGCAACGCCGCGUGAGUGACGAAGGGUUUCGGGUCGGAAAACUCUGUUGUUAGGGAAGAACAAGUGCUAGUUGAAUAAGCGGGCACCUUGGCGGUACCUAACCAGAAAGCCACGGCUAACUACGUGCCAGCCGCCGCAGUAA